rnacentral:sRNA from 1 species
GUUUUUGAAUCUGCGGAGGCGGAGGCGGCGGCGGUGGCGGCGGCGGUGGCGGCGGUGGCAGCGGCGGCGCGGCGACUGAAGCGCGCGAAAAGCUGAGGCGGCAACGUCGGGGACGACUGCGCGGGACGGCUCUGUAGGAAGGAACUUGGUUCCCCCUCCCUCAGCUUCCGCCCCAAAAGAUUCAGAAUGGACAGUUUAGAAGAACCUCAGAAAAAAGUCUUUAAGGCUCGAAAAACGAUGAGAGUGAGUGAUCGUCAGCAACUUGAAGCAGUGUACAAGGUCAAAGAAGAACUGUUGAAAACUGAUGUCAAGCUGUUAAAUGGCAACCAUGAAAAUGGAGAUUUGGACCCAACCUCACCUUUGGAAAACAUGGAUUACAUUAAAGACAAGGAAGAGGUGAAUGGCAUUGAAGAGAUUUGUUUUGAUCCUGAAGGAAGUAAAGCAGAAUGGAAGGAAACACCCUGUAUCCUAAGUGUUAAUGUAAAAAACAAGCAGGAUGAUGAUUUAAAUUGUGAACCUUUGUCUCCCCAUAAUAUAACUCCAGAACCAGUCUCUAAACUGCCUGCUGAACCAGUUUCUGGUGAUCCAGCCCCUGGUGAUCUGGAUGCCGGAGAUCCAGCCUCCGGAGUACUGGCCUCUGGUGAUUCCACCUCUGGUGAUCCCACCUCUAGCGAGCCCUCCUCUAGUGAUGCUGCCUCUGGUGAUGCAACCUCUGGUGAUGCCCCUUCUGGUGAUGUGUCCCCUGGUGAUGCCACCUCUGGUGAUGCCACUGCUGAUGAUCUCUCCUCUGGUGAUCCCACCUCUAGUGAUCCCAUCCCAGGUGAACCGGUCCCUGUUGAACCCAUUUCUGGUGAUUGUGCCGCUGAUGAUAUAGCCUCUAGUGAAAUAACUUCUGUUGAUCUGGCUUCUGGAGCACCAGCUUCCACUGAUCCAGCCUCUGAUGAUCUGGCCUCUGGUGAUCUAUCCUCUAGUGAACUGGCCUCUGAUGAUCUGGCCACUGGUGAACUGGCCUCUGAUGAGCUGACUUCUGAAUCAACCUUUGAUCGUACCUUUGAACCAAAGUCUGUACCACUUUGUGAACCAGUUCCUGAAAUUGACAAUAUAGAACCAAGUAGCAAUAAAGAUGAUGAUUUUCUUGAAAAAAAUGGAGCUGAUGAAAAAUUAGAGCAAAUUCAGAGUAAAGACUCAUUGGAUGAGAAAAAUAAAACUGAUAAUAAUAUUGAUGCUAAUGAAGAAACUCUAGAAACAGAUGAUACAACUAUUUGUUCAGAUCGACCUCCUGAAAAUGAAAAGAAGGUAGAGGAAGAUACUAUCACAGAGCUUGCUCUUGGAGAAGAUGCUAUAUCUAGCAGUAUGGAAAUUGACCAAGGUGAAAAGAAUGAAGAUGAAACUUCUGCAGAUCAUGUAGAAACGAUUAAUGAAAAUGUUAUUGAAGAUGACAAAAGUGAGAAUAUCUUAGAAAAUACAGACUCUAUGGAGACAGAUGAAAUCAUUCCUAUUUUGGAAAAGCUUGCACCUUCUGAGGAUGAACUUACUUGCUUUUCUAAAACAUCUCUCCUUCCAAUCGAUGAGACAAAUCCAGAUUUGGAAGAGAAAAUGGAAAGUUCUUUUGGUUCACCAUCUAAACAAGAAAGUAGUGAGAGUUUGCCAAAAGAAGCCUUUCUGGUCCUCUCUGAUGAAGAGGAUAUUUCGGGUGAAAAAGAUGAGUCUGAAGUUAUAUCGCAAAAUGAAACGUGCUCUCCAGAAGUAGAAAGUAAUGAAAAGGACAACAAACCUAAGGAAGAAGAGCAAGUAAUACAUGAAGAUGAUGAAAGACCUUCUGAGAAAAAUGAAUUUUCUAGACGAAAACGUUCUAAAUCAGAAGACAUGGACAAUGUACAGUCUAAACGUCGUCGAUAUAUGGAAGAAGAAUAUGAGGCAGAAUUUCAAGUAAAGAUUACAGCCAAAGGAGACAUUAACCAGAAACUUCAAAAGGUUAUACAGUGGUUGCUGGAAGAAAAAUUGUGUGCGCUGCAGUGUGCUGUAUUUGAUAAGACUUUGGCAGAAUUGAAAACACGAGUGGAAAAGAUUGAAUGUAACAAGAGGCAUAAAACAGUUCUCACUGAACUACAGGCCAAGAUAGCCAGGUUAACCAAACGCUUUGAAGCAGCCAAAGAAGAUCUUAAGAAAAGACAUGAACAUCCACCCAACCCACCAGUAUCACCAGGAAAAACUGUAAAUGAUGUCAACAGCAAUAAUAACAUGUCUUACAGUAUCUUCAACCAAUCUUGUCACUCCUCCAGCAGUUGUCAGUAGUCAACCUAAAUUGCAGACUCCAGUGACUUC